AUGGGGCGCAGCNNGNGCGAAAACUUGGCAAUGCGAGAAAUCGUGACCAGGGAACUCCAAGUGCAUCGGGUAAGACCGAUGCUUUUCUUGACUCUUCAAAGGUCUUGGAAUAAGGGGUGGGUAAGGACGGUGCCAGCCGCCGCGGUAAUACCGGCGCCCCAAGUGGUAGUCGCUUUUAUUGGGCCUAAAACGUCCGUAGCCGGUCUGGUACAUUCGUGGGUAAAUCAACCAGCUCAACUGGUUGAAUUCUGCGAGCACGGCCAGACUUGGGACCGGGAGAGGUGUGGGGUACUCUCAGGGUAGGGGUAAAAUCCUGUCAUCCUGAGAGGACCACCUGUUGCGAAGGCGCCACACUAGAACGGAUCCGACGGUCAGGGACGAAGCCUAGGGGCACGAACCGGAUUAGAUACCCGGGUAGUCCUAGGUGUAAACGCUGUGGACUUGAUGUUGGGGGCGCUCCGAGCGCACUCAGUGUCGAAGCGAAGGUGAUAAGUCCACUGCCUGGGGAGUACGGUCGCAAGGCUGAAACUUAAAGGAAUUGGCGGGGGAGCAC
rnacentral:rRNA from 1 species